rnacentral:rRNA from 1 species
UACGUAGGAGGCAAGCGUUGUCCGGAAUUACUGGGCGUAAAGGGCGCGUAGGCGGUUUGCUAAGUUAGAUGUGAAAACUCUGGGCUCAACCCAGAGCCUGCAUCUAAAACUGGCAGGCUAGAGUUCUGGAGGGGGUAGCGGAAUUCCUGGUGUAGCGGUGAAAUGCGUAGAUAUCAGGAGGAACACCGGUGGCGAAGGCGGCUACCUGGACAGAAACUGACGCUGAGGCGCGAAAGCUAGGGGAGCAAACAGG